CCCUUAGAUGUCCGGGGCCGCACGCGCGCUACACUGAAGGAAUCAGCGUGGCUUUCUCCCUGACCCGAAAGGGUUGGGAAACCCGUUGAAUCUCCUUCGUGAUAGGGAUUGGGGCUUGAAAUUGUUCCCCAUGAACGAGGAAUUCCCAGUAAGCGCGAGUCAUAAGCUCGCGUUGAUUACGUCCCUGCCCUUUGUACACACCGCCCGUCGCUACUACCGAUUGAACGGUUUAGUGAGGGCCUCGGAUUGGUCUCGGCCCGCUCUUUACCGGGCGGCGCCGUUGGUCGAGAAGACGCUCGAACUUGAUCGUUUAGAGGAGUAAAAGUCGUAACA
rnacentral:rRNA from 1 species